GAUGAACGCUGGCGGCGUGCCUAAUACAUGCAAGUCGAGCGAACAGACGAGGAGCUUGCUCCUCUGACGUUAGCGGCGGACGGGUGAGUAACACGUGGAUAACCUACCUAUAAGACUGGGAUAACUUCGGGAAACCGGAGCUAAUACCGGAUAAUAUAUUGAACCGCAUGGUUCAAUAGUGAAAGACGGUUUUGCUGUCACUUAUAGAUGGAUCCGCGCCGCAUUAGCUAGUUGGUAAGGUAACGGCUUACCAAGGCAACGAUGCGUAGCCGACCUGAGAGGGUGAUCGGCCACACUGGAACUGAGACACGGUCCAGACUCCUACGGGAGGCAGCAGUAGGGAAUCUUCCGCAAAGGGCGAAAGCGUGACGGAGCAACGCCGCGUGAGUGAUGAAGGUCUUCGGAUCGUAAAACUCUGUUAUUAGGGAAGAACAAAUGUGUAAGUAACUAUGCACGUCUUGACGGUACCUAAUCAGAAAGCCACGGCUAACUACGUG
rnacentral:rRNA from 1 species